UACGUAGGGUGCAAGCGUUUGUCCGGAAUUAUUGGGCGUAAAGAGCUCGUAGGCGGUUUGUCGCGUCGGCUGUGAAAACCCGGAGCUCAACUCCGGGCCUGCAGUCGAUACGGGGCAGACUUGAGUGUUGCAGGGGAGACUGGAAUUCCUGGUGUAGCGGUGAAAUGCGCAGAUAUCAGGAGGAACACCGAUGGCGAAGGCAGAUCUCUGGGCCGUAACCUGACGCUGAGGAGCGAAAGCAUGGGGAGCGAACAGG
rnacentral:rRNA from 1 species